rnacentral:rRNA from 1 species
UACGAAGGGGGCUAGCGUUGUUCGGAAUUACUGGGCGUAAAGGGCGCGUAGGCGGUGUGUCAAGUCAGGCGUGAAAGCCCCGGGCUCAACCUGGGAACCGCGCUUGAGACUGGCACGCUAGAGUUCGGGAGAGGAUGGUGGAAUUCCCAGUGUAGAGGUGAAAUUCGUAGAUAUUGGGAAGAACACCGAUGGCGAAGGCAGCCAUCUGGACCGACACUGACGCUGAGGCGCGAAAGCGUGGGGCGCAAACAGG